GAGCCCUUCCAGCCGCGUGACGGUGCCCCGAAAAGGAGCUGGUGACAGGAAUGAAAUAUUCAACAAAUCUGUUCCGCAGAAUGAAAAUGAGUUGUCGUUUAGCAUUUUAUCAUCUGGUGACACACUCUUCCCGCUUAAGGAAUCCAGCGUUGUGUGGACUUAUCAGCUUAAACCAUGUGGAUUUAGACCUCCGGCUGCUAAGGCGCACUCACGGCCGCGGGAGAGGAGAAGAGAAAGUCCAAAGCAGUGUCAUGCACCUGGCAAGGAGAGGAGAAGAAAAUGUUGUCUCAUAUUAUUGAACAAGUGCGUACACACCAGGAGGACCACUUUGAAUCAGGUUUGAGCCAAAUCAUACUUAACAAAGGUGGCCCGGGGAAGGGGUGGGCACCAAGAGACAGAAGCAUCCCAUGAAGCACCAGCCCAGCAGAAUCAGUUCUCACCCCUGUGACCCAGGCAUUAUACCCGUGACGCCAGCACAGACACAGCUGUUACUUACUGCUGUCCUUGCCUGGAGCAGCUGAAUGGCUUUCACCUAAACCAUAGAGAACAUCCUUGGUAAGUGCAUUCAAAAUCGCCACUGUGUUUAUGUCAUAAAAGGGAGGUAUAAGGAGACAUUACUUAGAUUAGAAUUGCUCUUUGCUUGUCUAGUGAAAUUAUUACAUAAUUAACAUUCUUGUUCCCGUAAGAGUUUAUUCUGCACAAUAGAAUGUUUUGAAGAAAAGCAAUGCCGAACUUCGGUUUCAUUUGACACAUGCCAAAGCUCUAGUGUAAACCUAGAGUAGGAGAGCAAUGCAGAGUCCCUAACUCUGGGGCGCAGCAGGUACAAAACAUUUAAAAACUUCCAAUGUCUGAAAAAUUGCAUAUUAAAGAUCCCUAAGCCAGGCGUAGUCAAGAAUUCUACAGCCAAACUAUUUACAGUAAGUCCCCUACAUACGUGUGAGUUCGGUUCCGAGAGGGGGUUUGUCCAAUUCGUUCGUAAGUCCAACAAAGUUAGCCUAGGUAGCCAACUAACACAAUUGGCUAUAUAGUACUGUACUGUAAUAGGUUUAUAAUACUUUUCACAUAAAUAAUACAUAAAAAAACAAACAAAAAAUAAACAUUUUUUAAUCUUACAGUAUAGUACCUUGAAAAGUACAGUAGUACAGUACAACAGCUGGCACACAGGGGCUGGCAUCGAGUGAACAGGCAAGAAGAGUUACUGACUGGGGGAGGGAGAGGAGGUGGGAGACGGUAGAGCUGAAGGGUCAUCAGCAAUAGCAGACGGAGGGCGAGGUUUAAUUUCACUCAUGCCUGAUGGUGAUGGAAUGCACGGUCGCAUCUUUGAAAGUUUACAACUUGAAGGUUCGUAUGUAGGGGACUUACUGUACAGCAUUUUAGUCAACGUCUGUGUUUAAAAAAAUCAUUCAUAAAGUGAUUUAAUAUAUCAUCUCUGCUUAAAAACUGCAGCAUAUCAUUAGUGAAUAACUUCGGAGUGCACUGAAAAUGAAAACUGCAUUUUCAAUUUUAAGAAUGAAAUACAAUACCAAUUUAACUAUUGCUUAAAUACCUGGAAAGUCUAACUGUCUUUCCUAGGUAGGUUUUCCAUUUGGGCGAAACCGCUCACAUGAGAGGUAGCAUCACCCACAGAGGGACUAUUUUAUGGCAAUCAUGGCACUAAAGCACAUUGGCUAGCAUAUACUGUAUAAAUCACAGCAUCAGAGGGGUUCCUGACCUUGGCAUAUUGGAAGUCCCCAAAACACAGCAGAUCGGGUAACCCUUAAGUGCACAGAUAAUUCUCUCUAGGAAUGAAUCGCUGUCGUGGUAUCUUCCUUGAUGGGAACAUUGGUGGAAAGCAGUUAUCAUGUGCAGUCCUGGGUGGGGCUGGGUUAAACUUGACAGAAACGGCAGCCGAGGUGCUGAGGGCAAAACCAGAGAUGUGGUAACAGAAGAGCGAGACAGUGCAGGCAGCAUGUGGUCAUAGCCAUCCCGAGGAGAGAGAUUUCAGUAGCCUGCCUCAGGAAACAUCGCCUGUGCAUUCAAAGUCAUCUUCUAGCUUAGCCUUUGUGAACACACACUCACGGGGCUCCGGAGAGCACUCGGCACCGUGCGCAGCUGCACGGGUGUUGACGGUGAACAGCAGAUGUGAGCAGGCCGGUGCCGGUGCCGCAGGCAGCCCGGGCUGCAGCCGUCGGCACGGUGCUGCAUCGCUGCAUGCGGGGGUGCUCUGGCCCCAGCUCCCCAGCUGCAGCACCAGGCUUACAGGAGGGGCUGCUGUAUCGUCGCCUUGGCGGGGUGGCCGAGGUGCAGCCCUGCAGUAACUCUACGCCCACCUGAUCCCUCCCUUCACACGAAUGUGGUCUCUGCCCAGAGCACACGAUUGAGCCCCCUUUUCUGCUUUCUCCUCCUCCUUGUGCUGUAGGCGUGACUGGCACCUCUCCCCUGCCCCCUCGCCCAGCUAAACCGGGGCGGCAGAUCCCUGUUUUUAAUCGUUAUCUGUGCACUUAGGUGCUAGACCUUACUUAUUAGGGUGUCCAACCCCUGCCUUUUAUAAAGGCUAUGAAUAGCCAGAGAGUUAGGAAAGUGCUUAGAAUUGCUUCCUUAGAUUAACUGUGGCGCCCUGGGCUGUGUCUGUAACGUCUGAAAGGUCAGGGACAUCUGAGAGCCCACGUGCCUGUAAACAAAUCUGACUAUUAGGUGAAAAAGCCAACGCACAGUCCAAAGGAAGGAACCAGACCGCGUUCUGCCUUUUCCUUUAGCUUGCCAGCAAGCAGCUGUUCUCGGGGCCUCUUCUUCCCAUACGCCAGCUGAGUGGGAAGAAGUAUUUUUACCCCCUCUCUCCUUCCCACUUCGCCAUGCCAGGGAUGCGUCAUUUCUUUCUUUACCCCUCUGGUGAAGCUGUUGGUUAAUAAGAGCUGGGGGAGGGGUGGGAGUUCUGAUCUUCAGGGCCCUCGGGUCUUGUGUGGAAAGUGAGGGGUCCUUUCUGGUCCAGCUCAAACGUACCGACAGCCUCUGAGCACCCAAGUUCUGCGUUUAGUUCUACUGAGUCUUUUUUCUUUCUUCUGUCUUCUACUCUCUUAAUGUGGAAGUGCUAGCUCCCCAGAGGAAACACCCCAGCCAGGAAGUGGAUGCGGGAGAGAAGUAAGGGAUGCUGGGGAGGAAGUAAGGGUGAUGAGAAUGGAGACACCAAACACAGAGGUUUGCAGCCUUAACCCGCAUGAAGACGACACGAGGAGCUUGCAUAAAUUCAGAUCCCCAGAUCUCCCCGACUACUUGAAUUUGGAUUCAGUAGCUCUAGGAUGGAAGUAUUGGACCCCAGAAUCUACAUGCUGGCGCCCUGAUAAUAUCAUAAAACGGUUCUCACUGCCUUGCGUUUUUAAAGCAUGUCGUAGGAUGCUGCUCGACUGUCCAGGAAGAUAGUACUCACCCAUCAGCUGUACAGGUUCACAGGCACGUCUGAAAAAAUGCCUGCCCUGGUCGUCUCCAGAGUUUAGUUCCCUCAUUCUCCACUCUAGCCUGCAUUGUGUACCACCUGGACUGGGAUGCUGGAUAAAGAUGAGAUGCUGAAUAAGGAUGGGUUUGUCUUUGUAUCUGCAGGAGGCGAACUACCCAUGUAACCCAGGGCUAUUAUUAUAAAUAAAAUUUCCCACUUUUCAAGCAGAUACUUAGCAUCUUAUAACUUUUGUAUCAAAUUUGUGUUGUAUUCUUGGUUACAUUUAAAAAUUAAAACCAACAGAAACAAAACAGAGUAAAAUAAAAUAGUCACUAAGCCCUAAAUACUGCCACCCCAACACACACACACAAUCUUCCAUUAUUUUUACAUUUUUCUUUGCUUUAGAUCACCCGUGCUUAGUCUCAGUCUGACUAUAAUUUUAUGGGAAAAAUUAUCUUCAGCCUUGAAAGAUAGAGCAACUCGUAUAUUUUCCAUAUACUGUUUAAAGAGCUAUGAUUUAAAAAAACCAAACUUUCCACACCAGUUUAGUUUUUCCUCUUCUCGUGACUAACCUAAGCAUCCUUCUUAAUUGCAAAUAUAUUAAAUGAUAAUCAUGACUGAGGUACAUAGCUAAUUUGGGUUUAUUGCCUUCUUACAUGCAUAACAAAUGAGCUUUGCAAGUUGGUAUGAUUAUGUUUCAAGACCCAUAAAAUAUGAUUCAUUUUAUCAUAACUGUAUUGUCAAUUUUGAGUUAAUUUAUUUAAGAAAAUUCUGCUCAGUGCUCUUAAGGAAUCUAUCUCAGGACUGGGCAUGGAAAAGGGCGUCAAUUAACUCUUUAUUGGUGGGUUGAUCAUGGAAAGAGACUCUGCCAUUCAUGGGCCCUGGUGGUUACUCAGCACAAUAAAAAAUGCUGACACCAGCUGUUCUGGUGAUAAGAGAGUCAUUCUGAACUUGUAAGAAUUAGAAAUGGCUAAUUAUUCCGGAUAAAAAAUUUUAAAAGCAACAUUCGGUUUAUUUUAAACAUUUCACAUGUCAGGCAAUCAGGUAAUUUGUUGAGUACCCUCAUCAUGCUUGGUGUUGCACUAACAGCCAAUGGGUGAUUAAAAAAAUGGCAUAAGAGCUCUUCUUUCAACACUGUUUUAAAGAAUCUAUUUUUAUUUUGUUGCCAUUUGCUUGGAUUAGUUUAAACAUUCUUUGAAUUUAUUUUCCUUACAUUACUGAUGUGUUCCUUUAUUCCAGCUGAAAUUGGCUCUAUUUCCCAGAGUUUAAGUCUUCUUGACAGUUAUUGAUAAUGCCAUUUCUCUACCCAGUGAAUCACUUCACCCAGGACAUACUUAAUUCCUUUAAGCUCUUCUCUCCUUGCUUGCUUCUCCUCCUCCAUCUUAACCAAAUUCUGAUUACUGAGCUCAUUACAGUUUGUUUCUAGGUGUGUUUUAACAUGUAGCGAAUCUGAAAUGUUUUCAUUGAAGCAGGGAAAUUGCUACCUUCCUCAUUCAUCCCACUGCUACCGAUUUUCAAGCCCUAAGAAUUUAUCUCCAUUUUGAAGAUACAUCAUGGCAAAGGAGGACGCAAUCACUGAUUAUUUUUAAGUUUGGAUGGCUUAAAACUAGCUUAAAACACAUCCUUUUUCUCCAGAUAAACUUAAAAUUUGGUGCUACUUUCUUCAAUUGAUUCACACUUGUAGUGUCUUAUGUCUUCAAAAUUCAUAUUAUAGACUCUGUUCAAUUCUCCAAGUACGAAUAAGGUUGUCAGGCAGCUUCAAGACUGCAAUCAAUGAGUAAUACAUAAAGAGUGCAACGAAUAAGUUAAUUUAUGGAAGGGCUCUCUGGUGAUGAAAAGAAUUAAUGAAGUUUCCAAAGGUGCCCAAUUUGUAAUCUGGGGAGAAUCUGAUGCUGAGAGAUCUUGACUUCAAGCCAAAGAAACAAAGACUACAGACCUACGAAAACUGGAGAGGGAGAGAAUUAUUAUCUAACUCAGAGACUGCAAACAGCAGAACUCCAAACUUCGUCUGGCCUACAGAUUGUUUUUAUUUCUUUAACUUUGGUUUUGAAUGCUUUUAGGAAAGGCAAGCUGAUCUGUCCACCACACUUCCUACCAUCAACACUGCCCGACCCCUGAACCCAUUCACGCAUUUGUAUUACCCGCCUGGCACCUCAAGGCAUUUCAAUCUGUGACCCAGUUUUCACAGUAAGGAAAUGAGAAAACUGUGGAGGUGAGUGAUUUGUUCAAGGUAACUGAUGAGCAAUGUGUUUCAUACGCGGGUUACCUCACCCACAUCCUGACUGUCCAUCUAGAAUCCUUUGUACUUCAGCCUUGGUUAUAUUAGUCUGAGAGAUUAAAGUCAGAACCAACUAAAAAUCUAUGAAUGAAAUCACAAAAGUAGUUCAGAAGAAGGAGUUAUGAAAAGGAAGCUUAGUUCAGGAGGUUGAGUAAUUUAACCAAGCUGAAGGAGAAAGCUGGGUUUUGUGUCUUAUACUCAACACCCUCCCCUACACACACACACACACACACACACACACACAGGGUUUAUUGCCUAUUUUGCAAAAUGAAGGGAACAGCCUGUGAAAGGUGAUUAAGUUAUGGCAUUUCUUUCUGUAAGCAAAGAGUCAAAAUUGCCAAAUAAAUUUGUAGAAGGUGCUUGCCUUUAAAAUGCCAUUGGUCCUUCAAAAGAACAACCCAGUAAAUAAACAUACAUUAGUAAAAUCUUACGGCACGCUCAGAAAUUAUUUUCUCAUAGCUAUCAUAUCACUCAUGCAAGAUUUCCUUAUGUCAGUACGUCUUCAUUUCAAAAAGACCAUUGGGGUAGGUGAAAGAGGCAACUGUGCUUCUUAACCAGUCAUGCCAUUAAUGCAGUAAGCAAGCUCCACGAUUACGUAAUAGGAACAUAAAAGGGAACAGAGAAAGGUUUAGUUUGGGGAAUUCUGGGCUCCUUGCACUUUCUGACUCAGAGCUAAACAUUCGUUAGGAGAACAAUGCUUCUGGUGGUUUUCUAAGACAUUUAGAAUAAGCCAUUAACAAUUAGGGCAGGUGACCACAGAAUGAAGGGCGAGGUUCAGAUUGGUAAUUAAAAUACACUGCAGCAACAUGGAUGGACCUAGAGAGUAUCAUACCAAGUGAAGUAAGCCAAACAGAGAAAGACAAAUAGCAUAUGAUAUCCCUUAUAUGUGGAAUCUAAAAAAAUGAUACAAAUGAACUUAUUUACAAAACAGAAAGAGACUCAGAGACAGAAAACAAACUUAUGGUUACCAAAGGGGAAAGGUGGAGGGAGGGAUAAAUUAGGAGUUUGAGAUUAAAAUACACGUGCACUACUAUAUAUAAAAUAGAAAACCAACAAGGAUCUACUGUAUAGCACAGGGAACGAUACUCAGCAUCUUGUAAUAACCUAUAAUGGAAGACAGUGUAAAGAAUAUAUAUAUAUAUUUACACAUAUGUGUAUGAUUGAACCAUUUUGCUGUACAUCUGAAACUAUCACAUUAUAACAAACCCUAAUCAACUAUAUUUCAAUAAAAAUUUUAAAAUGUAUUAAAAAAUUAAAAAAUACCUUUCUCUUCUUUUUUGUUUACUCCUUUUUUGUCUUCUGAGGGGUCAUCCCAAACAGUCCCAGCAGGAGAUCUAUAUGAGUUAGAAAGAUUGCUUGAAAAACUCUUGCAUUUAUGCACCAGUAAAGUUGUCUUUCUGGCAAUAUUCUCUUUUGCUUUUAGAGUUUGAUUAAACUAGACUCUUAGUUCUAAGCCAUCCCCGUGCUCUACAGCAUUUUUUCCUGUCUCUAUCCAGCUCUAUGCACUAUAACCGUUUGCUCACAUAUUCAGCUCCCUCAUCUGCCUCUUCUCACCUCAAGGACAAGGAAUUAUGCCUUAAUCAGUUUUGUACUCCUGGCACCUAACACAGUAUAUGUGAUGUUAUUAAAACAA